CAGCCAUCGGCCUGGCCUCGGCAACUCCAGGAGACCAAAACACAAAGCAGCAGCCGAGUAGCAAGGAACGAGCCAUCCUCCAAUCGAAAGCUAAACUAGCAGCUGGACUGCAGUUAGCUAGCUCAGGCAUUUUGAAAUCUUUCACCAGUACGUGCCCAGCCAAAGGAAGGGAAGCCUAACAUGGCCAAAGAUAUGCUUGUGUGGUGCUUUGUGAUCAUGUCCAGUCGG